rnacentral:rRNA from 1 species
UACGAAGGGGGCUAGCGUUGCUCGGAAUCACUGGGCGUAAAGCGCACGUAGGCGGAUUGUUAAGUCGGGGGUGAAAUCCUGGAGCUCAACUCCAGAACUGCCUUUGAUACUGGCGAUCUUGAGUCCGGGAGAGGUGAGUGGAACUCCGAGUGUAGAGGUGAAAUUCGUAGAUAUUAGGAAGAACACCAGUGGCGAAGGCGGCUCACUGGUCCGGUACUGACGCUGAGGUGCGAAAGCGUGGGGAGCAAACAGG